AAUCUUCAACCCACCUCUUUCUUAGUGAAUCUGGUGGUGCUUGGUUUCUGAGCGCUGCUCUGCUUCGGCUUAGCUCGUUCGUAAUGCAUUAGCAUCCGCAACCGAAACUUCGGAUUGACUUGGCGUAAUAGACUAUUCGCUGAGGAUUCCAGACUUGUUCUGGAGCCGAGUUGGGUUAAAGGAAGCUUCUAAUCCUAAAGUCUAUUUUUUGAU
rnacentral:misc_RNA from 1 species